rnacentral:rRNA from 1 species
GAUCCUGGCUCAGGACGAACGCUGGCGGCGCGCCUAACACAUGCAAGUCGAACGGAGUUUACAGACGGAAGUUUUCGGAUGGAAGCUUGUAAACUUAGUGGCGGACGGGUGAGUAACACGUGAGCAACCUGGCCUAUCAGAGGGGGAUAACGAUUGGAAACGAUCGCUAAUACCGCAUGACAUAGCGGAAUCGCAUGGUUACUGUUAUCAAAGNUUUUAUCGCUGAUAGAUGGG